GAGGGAAAGUUGAAAAGCACUUUGAAGAGAGAGUUAAAGAGGACGUGAAACCGGUAAGGAGGAAACGGAUAGAGUCAACGUAUCUAGCCUGUAUUCAGCUGGUUUGUUUCGUGCUAGUAUUAGUCCGUACAGUCCAGUCUCAUUGGCUGUUGGAUUAGACUAGAUGCGUCUAACCUAGUGCAUUUGCAGGUAGAGUGCGCUGAGACUUGUGGUAUGGUGGUACGAUCCACUAGUUGCAGACGGAUCACUUCCUCACGGUUGUGAUACCAGCACUGUGGUGAUUGCUGUCCAGUACUACAUGUGUAGAGUGUGGUUGAGGUUGCUGGGCAUUUGUAGUUGUGUCGGUUGCAGUCGCAUGCGACGCGUAGCCGUUCACUUCGACGACGUGCUUGGUGGUCUUUCAUACUCGUUCUCGGUGUAAAAGUUGGUCAUCUAUCCGACCCGUCUUGAAACACGGACCAAGGAGUUUAGCAAAUGCGCGAGUCAUUGAGUGCUAUCAAAACUCAAAGGCGCAAUGAAAGUGAAUGUAUUGCACAGAUAUGUGAUCGUGUUGCACUACGGUGUGUACGAGCAACAUAGCCCCGUUCUAAUCGCUUGCGAUGGGGCGGAGGUAGAGCGUAUUUGCUGAGACCCGAAAGAUGGUGAACUAUUCCUGAGCAGGAUGAAGCCAGAGGAAACUCUGGUGGAAGUCCGAAGCGGUUCUGACGUGCAAAUCGAUCGUCUGACUUGGGUAUAGGGGCGAAAGACUAAUCGAACCAUCUAGUA
rnacentral:rRNA from 1 species